CCUACGGGUGGCAGCAGUCGAGAAUCAUUCACAAUGGGGGAAACCCUGAUGGUGCGACGCCGCGUGGGGGAAUGAAGGUCUUCGGAUUGUAAACCCCUGUCAUGUGGGAGCAAAUUAAAAAGAUAGUACCACAAGAGGAAGAGACGGCUAACUCUGUGCCAGCAGCCGCGGUAAUACAGAGGUCUCAAGCGUUGUUCGGAAUCACUGGGCGUAAAGCGUGCGUAGGCUGUUUCGUAAGUCGGGUGUGAAAGGCGCGGGCUCAACCCGAGGACGGCACAUGAUACUGGGAGACUAGAGUAAAGGAGGGGGAACCGGAAUUCUCGGUGUAGCAGUGAAAUGCGUAGAUAUCGAGAAGAACACUCGUGGCGAAGGCGGGUUCCUGGACAUUAACUGACGCUGAGGCACGAAGGCCAGGGGAUCAAACAGGAUUAGAUACCCCGGUAGUC
rnacentral:rRNA from 1 species